GCGGAGGAAAAGAAACCAACAGGGAUUGCCCUAGUAACGGCGAGUGAAGCGGCAACAGCUCAAAUUUGAAAUCUGGCGUCUUUGGCGUCCGAGUUGUAAUUUGCAGAGGGCGCUUUGGCGUUGGCAGCGGUCCAAGUUCCUUGGAACAGGACGUCACAGAGGGUGAGAAUCCCGUACGUGGUCGCUGGCCUUCGCCGUGUAAAGCCCCUUCGACGAGUCGAGUUGUUUGGGAAUGCAGCUCUAAAUGGGAGGUAAAUUUCUUCUAAAGCUAAAUACUGGCCAGAGACCGAUAGCGCACAAGUAGAGUGAUCGAAAGAUGAAAAGCACUUUGGAAAGAGAGUCAAACAGCACGUGAAAUUGUUAAAAGGGAAGCGCUUGCAGCCAGACUUGCCUGUAGUUGCUCAUCCGGACUUUUGUCCGGUGCACUCUUCUAUAGGCAGGCCAGCAUCAGUUUGGGCGGUUGGAUAAAGGUCUCUGUCAUGUACCUCUCUUCGGGGAGAACUUAUAGGGGAGACGACAUGCAACCAGCCUGGACUGAGGUCCGCGCAUUUGCUAGGAUGCUGGCGUAAUGGCUGUAAGCGGCCCGUCUUGAAACACGGACCAAGGAGUCUAACAUCUAUGCGAGUGUUUGGGUGUCAAGCCCGAACGCGUAAUGAAAGUGAACGGAGGUGGGAACCUUUCGGGGUGCACCAUCGACCGAUCCUGAUGUCUUCGGAUGGAUUUGAGUAAGAGCAUAGCUGUUGGGACCCGAAAGAUGGUGAACUAUGCUUGAAUAGGGUGAAGCCAGAGGAAACUCUGGUGGAGGCUCGCAGCGGUUCUGACGUGCAAAUCGAUCGUCAAAUUUGGGCAUAGGGGCGAAAGACUAAUCGAACUAUCUAGUAGC
rnacentral:sRNA from 1 species